UCGACGGUGAUCUCGGUGCUUGCACCGGGUGAUCAGUGGCGAACGGGUGAGUAACACGUGAGCAACCUGCCCCCGACCCUGGGAUAACCCCGAGAAAUCGGAGCUAAUACCGGAUACGAGACGCACAGGCAUCUGUAGCGUCUGGAAAGAUUCAUCGGUCAGGGAUGGGCUCGCGGCCUAUCAGCUAGUUGGUGAGGUAGUGGCUCACCAAGGCGACGACGGGUAGCCGGCCUGAGAGGGCGACCGGCCACACUGGGACUGAGACACGGCCCAGACUCCUACGGGAGGCAGCAGUGGGGAAUAUUGCACAAUGGGCGCAAGCCUGAUGCAGCGACGCCGCGUGGGGGAUGAAGGCCUUCGGGUUGUAAACCCCUUUCAGCAGGGAAGAAGCGAAAGUGACGGUACCUGCAGAAGAAGCGCCGGCUAACUACGUGCCAGCAGCCGCGGUAAUACGUAGGGCGCAAGCGUUGUCCGGAUUUAUUGGGCGUAAAGAGCUCGUAGGCGGUUUGUCGCGUCUGCUGUGAAAACCCGAGGCUCAACCUCGGGCCUGCAGUGGGUACGGGCAGACUAGAGUGCGGUAGGGGAGACUGGAAUUCCUGGUGUAGCGGUGGAAUGCGCAGAUAUCAGGAGGAACACCGAUGGCGAAGGCAGGUCUCUGGGCCGCAACUGACGCUGAGGAGCGAAAGCAUGGGGAGCGAACAGGAUUAGAUACCCUGGUAGUCCAUGCCGUANACGUUGGGCACUAGGUGUGGGGCUNAUUCCACGAGUUCCGUGCCGCAGCAAACGCAUUAAGUGCCCCGCCUGGGGAGUACGGCCGCAAGGCUAAAACUCAAAGGAAUU
rnacentral:rRNA from 1 species